rnacentral:SRP_RNA from 1 species
GCCGGGCGCAGUGGCGCGUGCCUGUAGUCCCAGCUACUCGGGAGGCUGAGGUGGGAGGAUCACUUGAGCCCAGGAGUUCUGGGCUAUAGUGCGCUAUGCCAAUCGGGUGUCUGCACUAAGUUCAGCAUCAAUAUGGUGACCUCCCAGGAGCAGGGGACCACCAGGUUGCCUAAGGAGGGGUGGACCAGCCCAGGUCAGAAACGGAGCAGGUCAAAACUCCCAUGCUGAUCAGUAGUGGGAUCACGCCUGUGAAUAGCCACUGCACUCCAGCCUGGGUAACAUAGCGAGACCCCAUCUCU